rnacentral:lncRNA from 1 species
CUCUUCCAAUCUCGACGAUACAAACGUAUUCAAAGGAUUCAAAAUACCGUUUAUCUCCAACGUACGAUUCCGCUCUGUAUUGACUUUUGGCGUCAAUUGAAUAUCAAAUGGGUCAUUCAACGUCAGAUCAGCUGCCGGGUGUAAACGUCAACAUUUCUGAUUUUGCUGACUCCUUUACAAGAUUAUUAGAACAACCUUCACAGUAUGUCUCUGAUCAAUUUAAAUCGUGAGAUAAAAACUGUGUAUAAAUCGACGAAUAACAAUAAUAUGAAACCACUGUAAAUCCGUGGCCCAAAGAACGGGCAACAAAAUCUGACUUUUA